UACUAGUAACAAAGGAGGGUUAAGUGCUCCUUAUACAAAUUCAGAGGCAUAACAAAGACAUAUGCCCAAUGGAUAAACAUUCAUUGACUCUCGGAGAUGAGCCCCAAGAAGAGCCUGAGCAAGACUCAGCGAACAUCUUUCUGCAUCUUCUGGGACUGUCACGGCUCUUAUCUGCAACACUUUGGACUUCUCCAAACUUAAGGCUUUAAGAUGCAACUGUAGUCAAUCAACUUCCAUGCAACUCCCUAGAGAAAUGCCCUGGCUGUGCAAGCUCCCGCUGCCUAAAUAAGGUGAAGAUGCUUUUCCAAGGAAGUUGAGGAUUCUACCUCAGUGUAAUUCUGUGAGUGCAACAGGGCAAGGAAAGGAGACUCUUCUGGGCCUCCAGCAAUUACAAUAAUCUAGGUUAUGUUGCUGGAAACCCUCAACUCUUAGUGGCUUUAAACCAAAGAGGUCGAUUUCUUGUUCAUGCUACUUACCUCUUGUGGCAGGAGGAGGGGGGCUGGUGGAGAAGCUACCAUCGCAAAUACUGGUGGGUCCCCAUUCCAAAGAGGAAAGAAAGCUCUGGAGCAUUUUGCAUCAGUAAUUCAAUACUCCAGCCUGGAAGAGACCCUUAUCACUUCUACUCAUUAGCUGGAACCACAUGGCCCUAUCCAACCACAAGGAGACCAGGAAGUGCAAUCCACCUUGUGCUUGAAAGGGCAGAGAACUGGAAAUCUUUAGAGAACAGCACUAAUCGUAUCUACAGAACCUAAGAAAAGUUGAGCCGAUUGUGAUAACUAACCUUCCUAGGCCACUGUUCGGCCCAGACUAACUUGAGGCAAUUGCAAUCCGGAUUUCUAAACCUUGUGUUUCAGUCAGAGGAAAGAACUUUCAACAUUUUGCUCCUAAUUACCCUGUAUCCCUCUCAAAUUGUUCCUACUUCGAGGUAAAAUGUUUUGAGAACCCUGGCGCAAAGUCCCAGGACUAUCUCCGCUUCCUCGCUAACAUCCUUGGCACUUGGGCUCUCCUUGAGCAUCCCCCCGACCCCCACCGCCAACCCAGCCUCCCCUGCCACCCUGAGAGCCGCUUGCAUGCAUCACUGUUUCAGUGGAUGGCAGCAAUACACAAGGGCACCUCAUUGUUGGAAAGGAACUGCCUUCUGCCUGCCAAGGACAAAUGCAGACACACAAAGCUGUAUCAAACAAGACUUCACAUCAAAGGGAACCCUGCCUGGGCUUGCCAAGAGCAGGGCUGCUUCUGAGCCUCUCCCCUUAGCCUUGUUAGUAUUCUUAGGGCCCAAGGGGCCCCUGGUGCUCCUGGCAGGCCCCCUCAUUUACCCAGCACUCCUCUUCACUCUGACACCUGAAGCCCAGGCUCUCCCUGAAUUUGGCCUCGACCACUUGACAGAGCAGAAUGCCAAGUGUUUAACAACGUUGAGCGAUUAGGAAAGAAAAUUCAUGAGAAAUAUUUACUCUGUGAACUCCAUUUGAGUAGGAGAACAGAAUACUUCUUUGGUGCAACAACACAUAGAAAAUCAAAAAGUUCCUACCUGAGGCCUCAGGGAAAAGAGCACCAGAAGGAAAGCUUACCUACUGACGAAGCAAGGAUGCUUUAGGAGCAGAGGUUGGGAACGCUGGAACCAAGGUUGAAAAUGGAGAUUGGCCAGUUGUAGGCAUUUAGACCUGGUGAGAAGUGGUGAACUAAAGAUCCAGACAAACUUUCUACCUUAAAAUCAACAUAAGAAUUUAGGUCCUGUUACUUUAAGGAAAAGAAAAGGUCUUUGUUUUAAAAGAAGGAUGAGGGAAAAAUUGAAUAAAGGACUGAUAGCGACAGAGAAAGGGAUAAAAACUUUUAAUUUAGAAAACAGUUAAGGCCUUCUGUUCUGGGGGCUGAAGAACGCUUUUGGAAAGAGACAUUAAGUAUCAAAAUACAAUGGAAGUUUUAAAACACUGUAAAGUCACAUAUUAUGAGAGCUGGAAGGGGAACUUGGAGAUGGUCUUUUCCAAAUGAUUUCUUUGAGUUAAGAAAAUCUGAAACUCAGGGAUGUCAAGGGGCUUUUUCACAGUCACAUAGCUGGUUAGUUGCAAAGCUAUAGUCAGAGAUCUUGACUCUCAGGCUUGUAAGAGAGAGCAAUGCUUGGCAUGGCAUGUGAUCAGAGUACAUAGGUCUACAACUACAUCAGAUGUCUGAUUGAACCAAGUUCGGGGCACUCGACUCAUGUCAUUCUUUCCUCUCGUUUGGACAGAAACUUCAGAAACGACACCCCGGCUGCCAAUCUGAUAGUCGGCACCCACACGAAUGUCAAUCAGAAACCUCUUGGCAUAAUGAAAAAUAGUCCAAUCGGGAAUUUGAAGCUUUUGUAAACACAACAGAGGAUUGAGGUUAAAAUAGGGUGCGAAUCUGGGGAGGCAUCUGCCCCUCUGCUCUCUUCACCCUGGACUGCACCUGCGUAGCCGCACUUUGCGCUUGUCCAGGACCAGGAAGGGAGAUGAGAAAACAUCUUGUGGAAUCACUUCACCUUUCGCUGAUAUUUGGUUGAAAGGGAUACAGUUUUGACUUCCAGUGAUUAUUUAGCAUGUAGUAUAUAAAUCAGCUGGAAAAAAAAAUCUGGAGAGAUGAAGACGUGUUUUCUCCUGGUUUUACCUUGAAAGUGCGAAUUAUGAAGGUAGUUUUCCAUAUGUACAUGUUUAAGGUUCUACUAUUUUGUGGUGCCACUUAGAAUUUUGAAACCACUAGAGCCUAUUCCAUUCCUUCUCUCUUUCUUAAACUUGGAUCGAUCUUCUCCUGGGUGAAGUUUAAAAUAAUAAAAACCGAGAAAACCA